rnacentral:rRNA from 1 species
AGGACGAACGCUGGCGGCGUGCUUAACACAUGCAAGUGGAGCGACGAACCAGGGCUUGCCCUGGGGCAGAGCCGCGAACGGGUGAGUAACACGUGGGUUACCUGCCUCGAUGACCGGGACAACCCGAGGAAACUCGGGCUAAUACCGGAUGUGCCCGCAAGGGGAAAGGAAGCUUCGGCCUCCGCAUCGAGAUGGGCCCGCGGCCCAUUAGCUUGUUGGUGAGGUAACGGCUCACCAAGGCUUCGAUUGGUAGCUGGUCUGAGAGGACGAUCAGCCACACUGGGACUGAGACACGGCCCAGACUCCUACGGGAGGCAGCAGUGGGGAAUAUUGCGCAAUGGGCGAAAGCCUGACGCAGCGACGCCGCGUGCGGGAUGAAGGCCUUCGGGUUGUAAACCGCUUUCAGCAGGGACGAAGCGAAAGUGACGGUACCUGCAGAAGAAGCGCCGGCUAACUACGCGCCAGCAGCCGCGGUAA